ACAUCUUUAGCUAAAUGGUUAUAGCAGUUGCCUUCGAAGCAAAAGACUAUAGGUUCAAGUCCUAUAAGAUGUU
rfam:Crinipellis perniciosa mitochondrion, complete genome.